rnacentral:rRNA from 1 species
GCUAAUACCGCAUAAUGCCUACGGGCCAAAGAGGGGGACCUUCGGGCCUCUCGCGUCAAGAUAUGCCUAGGUGGGAUUAGCUAGUUGGUGAGGUAAUGGCUCACCAAGGCGACGAUCCCUAGCUGGUCUGAGAGGAUGAUCAGCCACACUGGAACUGAGACACGGUCCAGACUCCUACGGGAGGCAGCAGUGGGGAAUAUUGCACAAUGGGCGAAAGCCUGAUGCAGCCAUGCCGCGUGUAUGAAGAAGGCCUUCGGGUUGUAAAGUACUUUCAGUUGUGAGGAAGGGGGUAGCGUUAAUAGCGCUAUCUCUUGACGUUAGCAACAGAAGAAGCACCGGCUAACUCCGUGCCAGCAGCCGCGGUAAUACGGAGGGUGCGAGCGUUAAUCGGAAUUACUGGGCGUAAAGCGCAUGCAGGUGGUUCAUUAAGUCAGAUGUGAAAGCCCGGGGCUCAACCUCGGAACUGCAUUUGAAACUGGUGAACUAGAGUACUGUAGAGGGGGGUAGAAUUUCAGGUGUAGCGGUGAAAUGCGUAGAGAUCUGAAGGAAUACCAGUGGCGAAGGCGGCCCCCUGGA